GACUAUGCCGCGAUGAAGCUAAGCCCUCAAUGGCGUGAUUGGAAAGAGCAUUUGUCCGUUGAUACGAAAGACUGGUUUACUGUACCCGAAUGGUCACCUAUCCAAGUGCUCGAUGAGGAGGCCUUGGCGAAGAAACGAGAGCGAGAGGAGUUGCUGUUUGCUCAGCGAGCACUUGGUAAAGUUAGCAAGGAGGAGCCUUAGCUGCCGUGCUUCAGAGAAGUGCAUACUGAUAUAUAGGUUCGACGAUUUUGUCAAGGCGUUGUAUGUCUCCAAGCCGUUGUGUCGGGAAGGUUGCCAGUUGCACCUAUCUUGCCCUGAGCUUUAUAUUAACCUUUUGACAUAUAUCUUUUUUUUUGUCCAAGACAUAUAUCUUUAUAAUCUUGUUUUGUUCUACUUAUUAGUAUGUCUGUACAAUACCAAUGGCUCUUUGGGCAUCCUAGGAAGAAUAAAUAUGGGAGAAUCCAAUCCAAGAUGGGACUUGGUGUGAGAGUUCCAAUGAAUUUCCAUUCCCUGCAACUUAUCUCUCUAAUCAUGUACUCUCUCCGUUUAAGUAAUUCUUUUUCUGAUUCAGAUGUAUAUAGACAUGUUUUAGUGUGUUUGUUCACUCAUUUUAGUCUGUUAUCCAUAUUAAAAUAUCCAAAACAUCUUAUAUUUAUGAAUGAAGGGAGUAUCAUACCUUCGUUUCUAAAUAUAAGCCUCUUUAGAGAUUUCAAUAGGGAUAUAUACAGAUGUAUAUAGACAUAUUUUAGAGUGUAAAUUCACUCAUUUUGCUUCGUAUGUAGUUUGUAUUGAAAUCUCUAAAAAGGCUUAUAUUUAGGAACGGAGGAGUGGUAGCAAAGUUUUGCAUUUUGUUUCCUGGAUGCAUAUGGACAUGAUUACAAAUCAUUUUUUCUUCCAUGGCUGCAUUUUAUCUUCAUUUUACCGAACUCUUAGACUACGUUCCAAGAAUGCCCCUCUAAGAUGUUUUGGAGAUUUUUCUUUGAGAACUCCACCCUUCAUAAAUGAAACAGCCACAGUUUUGAGUGAUACAAACACCCUCGGAUGGAUCAAGCAGCCACACAUGGCAUGCCAGCCAAGGUAUACACGGAACUCUGUCGCCAUGUGAUGCCAUGUUUUUGGUAAUGCCCAGGCUGAACAAAUGCAAUUUAACAUUUUCAUUAUUGCUCAUGACAUGAUACAAUUCAUCUGGACACAUGCCAGGCCAAGGCCAGUGUAUUGUGAACUCCGAGAACCUCGCCAAGUGACGGCGCCCUAAGCAUUCAAAGGUUCUGGUAAUUCAAGCGCUGAAAUGAUUGCCCAUACUUUCACUGAUUCCAUCUAUUCAGUCAAGAUAGCAUUUGUUAUAAAAUUUAUACAUUUCAUCAUCGGCGAUAAGUGGACACGACAAAACUUUGGUGCUCAACUUCUCUUAUCCUGUUGCAGAAUUUCAUUGAACGCCUUACUCAAGUUCUCAGAAGUUUUCAGAGAGAAUGUAUCAUUCUAAUGGAACACUGUUUCUCGUGUGGGUGCUCAAGGGCUUAAGGCCUUUCUACUGAAGGCGUCUGCUUCAUUAGGAACCUGCGCAGGAAAUUUAAUAGUUCAUUCAUUGUCUAAUAAGAAAAGAAAAUUCACUAGCUAUUUUCUUCCUUUUGAGGGGAAAAUUCACUAGCUCGGUACAAGGGCUGAGAUUCUGGUAUGAUUUUCCAUGCCCUCCAUAACAACUAGAACAAACAUCUGGUCGGUAAUCCGGAUUAUAGCCACAAUUAUGCAACACAUACUGCUGUCUUGAUCAGAAGAUAAUGCUGGGUUUCAUAGUACCAUGUCCUAUCCAUCCCUUGAUGCCAAUGAAUGCGAGAAAAGUAUUUAGGGCAUGAACAUGUAAAACUUGGAUGUACGUAGUAGUCUAGCCAAAAAAAAAAUGAAACUGGACACCAACAAAAUAUUUACAACAUAUCAGUCUUUCCAGUAAGAAAACGACACGCAUUUGGGUGCAUGUUCGAGAAUCCUUUUUUCGUCCAGUAAGUGCAAUUGGUUAGUGAGAGAAGAAUUAACUAAAUCAUCCUCUGAGCUUUCUGAAAGCAAUGUUCGUAUUCAUCACCUAUGUUAUUUUUGAACAAGGAAGGUCAUAACCAUUGCCAUGAUCAGAAUGUUAUCGUUUCCUGGGUAAAUCGUCACCCUAAACUUCCGCCUUGAAUAGACGGCCUUAUUGAGUUUGUACGGGAGAUUUGUCUGCACAAAUUAAUAAUUGACAUUUUAGUGUCAGUCUAAAAUGUGUUCAAAGUUAUAACCAUUGGACCAGUACACUAGACAACAGAUAAUGAUCAUCAGUGGAUCACGCCCAACCAAAAUUUCCAUAGUACCUGAGCAACAAUGGAGUUUCCCCUUAUAAUCGUGCAUGCUCUUCGAGAUGGAUUUCCUACGAGUAUGUAGCUUGGUUUUUGCUCCUCAGAUGUGCUUCUCGGCGGGACAAAGACAUGUACCUCCUUUCGAUCUGAAGAAGCACACAUUACCUUUGUUGAAAAAAUUAUGUCUUUCUGUUCCCAACUAAUUCCUCUGAAUGCCUGCCACGCACCCUGGAAAAUAGUAGCCUCCCACUCAGUGACAUAGUUUACAUAUGUAUUAUGCACAACAAGGGAUAAAUCACGAAUUAUUAAGGCGGGCAUUACAAAUGUAGCAUCAUCUUCAGGCUUCCGAGAGCCAAAAAACAAAAGCACGGAAAUAAACUUACGUCAAGUAUUGCACCUGACGUUGUGGCAGCUCGUACUAUUACUCAUUGUUUGUUCUGUCUUAUCGGCCUAAUUAAGCUUAUCAGGUACCACCUCUGUUCCUAAAUAUAAGACAUUUUGGCAGCUCAAUGAACAGAGGAAGUAUGAUACUGAGUUACUGACACAAAGUGCUUGUAUUCUGUCCUGAACUCUCCUGAAGUGUAACAUUUUUGCAGCAAUCCAACUAAUACGAAUCAAGUGAGGACAAACAAAUUCGAGCAAUCUACUCCUAUUUCAUAAGCAGUAUACUUGAAGCUGAAACUUUUCUAAGCAACAGCGGAGUAGACCCGAAUUAAGAAGCCAAGUUGACUUGAUGAUGGUGGAAUCUCUCACUCAGAAUUAAAUUAACCAGAGCAGACGCCCAAGCUGGAAUCAUCACCUCGCUGGUCCUGGCAGUGACCAGAGUGCUCCCGGAGGCGUCGAGGAGCGCCCUCCCUCCGCACCUCCUGCCACAACCGUCCGCCGCCGUGACGCGAAAGGCGAGACCGCCAGACGCGUCGUGGACCGCCAGGUCGCCGCCGCCUCCGAGGAGCUUCUUGACGACCGUCAGAUCGACCGGGACGACGGGCGCCGCCAUGGGUACGGGCGGCGGGGCAGCGGCCGCGACGUUUGUCCUGUCCAUGGCAAGGGGAGAGCAAGCGAGGCGUUGGUUUAGGAAAAGGUGAUCGGUAGGGGGUAGGAAGGAAAGGCGAAUGAUUCAAGAGUGGGUGGAAGAAGCGAAGAAGAGGCGAAAUGUUUGCAAGUUAGCGUUUGGGCUCUUCUAUUUGGCGUGGCCGACCAGAACCAUCUGACGUGGUCAUUCGCGUCUGAUUAUUCUUUUCCUUAGCGGAAUCAAAUGUGCGUGAUUAGGGCAUCUUCAACACCGUCCAUUAAACCUGUGAGCCAGGUAGUUUGGCGUCCGCCGAGGCCGGGAUGGGUGAAAACAAAUGUUGAUGGUGCUCUCAACUGCGCUCUCAUGAUUGUACUGGCACAUGAGCGGUGGCCAGGGAUGCUAACGGACAGUUCUGCAAGGGAGUGUGUUCCAAGUAUGUUGCAAUGCUUGAACCAUUCAUCGUCGAGCUUGUUGAGUAUAUUGAUUAGAUUAGAUGCAUAGAAUAGACUAAAUAAUAUUCUAGCUAGUCUUGUACAUCAAGUAAAUCAUGUACUCAUAUAUAUAUGUGCUCAUGAGACUCAAGCAAUACAAUAACAAUAUCAUCAACCCACUCUCUCCCUUUUAACAUGGUAUCAGUUUAACCAAUCCAAACCCUAGCCGCCGCCCGCCGCUUUCGCUCCGCGCCGCCCACGGGGCGGUCGGCCUCCAUGACCGUCGCCGGAGGCCGCGCCGCCCGUACCUAGGGUUCGUCCGCCAAUCGUGUUGGCCGGUUGUCCUACAGAGUCUUUUCCCUGAUUGCUUAAUCCGGGUUUUCUCUCUUUGCCGUCGACCCUCGCGCGCCUCCACUCCGACUUCAGCAUCGACCACACUAGCAUCUUCUCCGACACGACAGCCUUGCGUGCUAGGCGACGGCCUGAAACGGCCGUCGUCCACGCCUCCGUCCGCAUGUCGGUAUGCGCUGGCCGUCGUCGCCUUGAUCCGAUCGGGGAUCCUACAUCAAGUCAACCUCCAUCCACUUCAAGCAGGAUAGGGUUGGACGUACGUGCGUGGGUGCACCGGCUUUGCUCGCAUGGCGUGCGUUGCGCUCGCCCGAUCCGUGUUGUGUGCAUGUUGGCUGAUCGUUCGUAUACAUGUACGAAUCAACUUCCUGUCCAACACGUGUGCUCGUGGCUUAGUUGCCUGCUCAUGCGACGCGACCGCUGCAGAACCCGCCGUCUUCAUCUUGGCGUCCAGUCACUCCAUCUUCAUUGCAUGUUCGGCCUGAUCAGCUGUAUACAUGCCUCCAUCCGUGCCACGCGAUAGAUCUGGCCGUCGCUUGCGUGCGCCUUCACGGGUCCCGUGAAAAUCAUCUUUCAGUUUCGCACGUCCUUUUACCGAUCGAGCAAUGAGCUAUCACUGUGUCAUCACGUCAGGCCGUAGUGUCGCCGCCCCGUGGUAUUUUUCCGGCUGCACCGACCGUGUCACCGCUCCAUCACCUCUUCGGGCCGUAGUGCCGUGGCCCGUCGUCCACCGCCGUCCCAAGGUCGUCCGCUCUUAGUUGUCCUCGUGGCUGCACCGACCCUCGCGCUGCCGCUAUGUCGUCCCAUCGGGCCGUAGCGAGCGUGGCACGCGAUCCACGCCGCUGUCCUGAGGCCGUCCUCGUGGUUGCACCGACCCGCGUUUCGCCGCCGCGCUGCCCCUUCGGGCUGUAGCGCCAUGGCCCGUGGUCCCCGCAACCGUUCCGAGGUCUUCCGUCGUCGCCCUGACCCGCCCGCCACCGCUAUGUCGCCCCUUCGGGUCGUAGUGCCGCGGCCCGCGGUCCACCGCCGUCCCCGCGCGUUGACCUCUCGCGGUAUGCACCGCGCCAUCUCCCUUGGCGCGGGAACGCCACCGUCUGCGCCGGUCUUCGUCACGCUGUCGGGUUCCUCGCCUACUUCGAGCAUCACCGCCGCUCUCCUUCUCUAGCCGUUGCCGCCUCCUUACGCCGCCGCCGCCGCUGCUCUUCUUUCGCGGCUCCACGGCGACUACCUCGACACCGGCGACCCCUGACUCGACACCGACCACGGCGUUCUUCGCACGGCUACCUCGACCACGGCUACACCACCCUACGCUCUCGGCUACUUCGACAAACGGCACAAAGGGCUACCGCCUUGCUUGAACAACCUCGUCGGCUGCCACUCCAGCCACGACUCCGUGAUGUAUCGACUAUUACGACUGUGUGUGUGGGGGGGGGGGGUCCGUCGGCUUGCCUUCGGAUUCUUCUCCAGUCUCACCGUCUGUGUCGCUAUCGUUGUGACUGCGGGGGGAUGUUGAGUAUAUUGAUUAGAUUGGAAACAUAGGAUAGACUAGAUAAUAUUCGGACUUGUCUUGUACUCCAAGUAGAUCAUGUACUCCUAUACAUAUAUAUGCCCACAAGACUCAAGCAAUACAAUAACAAUUUCAUCAAUCCUCUCUCUCCCUUCUAACAAAGCUGACCGCAUCCCGGGAUGCAAUGGUGUUUGCAUUGGCCAAUGGAUACACAAGGAUAAGUACGGAAACUGAUUGUCAGGACGUUGCCAAUGCAUGGGAACGUGGGGAGGAUCGUUCUUCUGGCACUUAUCUCCCAAACUUCCAGGACUUUGAGUUGAGAUGGAUAGGAAGGCAAGCCAAUCGGGCUGCUCAUCUGUGUGCCAAAGAAGCUCUAGUAUUAGGGCUCGAUUCUCCCUCUCAAUGUAGUUUCUGUGUUUUGUUUUAUGAUCAGGCCUGAAUGAAUAAAUGCCUAUGAGGCGGUUCUCAAACAAAAAAAAAA
rnacentral:lncRNA from 1 species